GACGAACGCUGGCGGCGUGCCUAAUACAUGCAAGUAGAACGCAGUUGCGAACGGGUGAGUAACACGUGGGUUAUCUGCCUUGCACUCUGGGAUAAGCUUGGGAAACUGGGUCUAAUACCGGAUAGUGCAAGAUGAGCUCUCGGCCUAUCAGCUUGUUGGUGGGGUAGUGGCCUACCAAGUCGUCGACGGGUAGCCGGCCUGUGAGGGUGUACGGCCACAUUUGGACUGAGAUACGGCCCAGAAGCCUACGGGAGGCAGCAGUGGGGAAUAUUGCAAAAUGGGCGGAAGCCUGAUGCAGCGACGCCGCGUGGGGGAUGACGGCCUUCGGGUGAUAAACUCCUUUCGACAGGGACGCGGUACCUGUAUAAGAAGCACCGGCUAACUACGUGCCAGCAGCCGCGGUAAUAC
rnacentral:rRNA from 1 species